rnacentral:lncRNA from 1 species
UCUGUGCUCCUGCUGGCUUUGAAGCAGGAAGAGGCCGGGAGCCAAGGAAUGUAAGGAAUGCAGCUCUAGAAGCUGGAAAAGGCCAGGAAACCAAGCGGAGUGUCCUUUGGAGCCUCUGGACGGUGUGCAGUCGGACAGCUUGGUUUCUGUCUAAUGAAACUCAUUUCAGGCUUCUCACCUCCAGAACUAGCCUGAGAGUGAGGCCUUUGAAUGAUGCCCUGGACAGAGCUUGGAACAUGAAGGUGAAUACUGUUGUGGGGAGAAUGCAUCCCUUUGCCUGGCUCUGAGCCAGGGCCAGCUUUGGAUCCUGCUAGCCCCAUGGAUAUAGAGAGAUAAGCUUGAAAGAUGCCAGCAGGGCCUGCUAAAAGCCUGCAAAAAUGACAAGGAAGAUUACACAGCUGGAAAAAACUGUUUCAACAUUUCUUGUGACAUAAAAAAGCAAAGCCUGAAACAACAAAAAAACCUACACGUAAGAGACGAGAACAUCUGUGAAAAACCAGUGGGUGAAAAUCACAGGAAUCCCGGCUUUAAAUCCAUAUAAAGAAGACCUCCAGCAGCCAGAGUCAUCCAACAGCAAGACAGGCUUCUGGAGAGAGAGUGAGGUCCCAGUUCCUAAAAGUAUACAAGGGCUGCUUACCAGGCACCGUCCGGCACUUCAGGUUUGCCAUCUGCAAAAUCUUCUUUAAUCCUUGUAAUGACCCUGUGACAUAUGGAAAACUAUUAUCCUCAUCUUCCAUGUGAGGAAACUGAAGCUGGGAGGGAAGAAGUCACACCUCCAAGGAACGGGUACUGAGGUUUUAAUGAACUCAUUACUCAUUCCACUGUCAGGUGAAGCCUAAGUCUCCUCCCCUUGAAUGUGAGCUGAACUUAAUGACUUGAUUAUAAUGAAGAGAAUGUGACAGAAGCAGUGGUGUGUGAUGGUGCAGAUCAUGAAAAGUAUUUGACUUUCUCCUUGCUCUCUCUGAAGCACUCACUCUGUGGGGGAGGCCAGCUUUCAUGUCAUGAGGACACUCAAGUAGCCCUCUGGAGAGGCUCUCAUGGUGAGGAACUAAGGCGUUCUACCAAUAACCAUGCAGUGUGCCAUCUUGGAAGCAGAUCUUCCAGCACCAGUCCAACCUUCAGAUGACUGCAGCCCAGGCCAACAUCUUGACUGCAACUUCAAGAAAGACCCCAAGCCAUAACCACUCAGCUAAGCCAUUUCCAAUUCCUGAUUCUCAAAACCUGUAUGAGAUAAUAAAAUUGUUUGUUGUUGUUUUAACCCACUAAGUUUUGAGAAUAACAUACUAUGUAGCAGUAGGUAAUUAACA